AAAAGACUUAGUCCUAACCUUACUGUUGGGUCUUGCUAGAUAUAUACAUGCGAGUAUCCGCAUUCCAGUGUAGAUGCCCUGGUGCACCUUGCCCAAGCCGCCAGGAGCGGGUAUCAGGCUCACUCAUAAUGUAGCCCAAAACGCCUUGCAAUUGCCACACCCCCACGGGCAUUCAGCAGUAAUUAGUAUUAAGCAAUGAGUGUAAACUUGACUUAGUCAUAGCAAUUUAGGGUCGGUAAAUCCUGUGCCAGCCACCGCGGUCAUACAGGAGACCCAAAUCAACUUUACUAGACGGCGUAAAGAGUGGUCACAUGUUAUCCUAGUAACUAAGAUCAAAACGCAACUGAGCUGUAACAAGCCCAUGAUGCCCCUAAGGCCUCUGUAAGAAGAAAAUCUUAGACCAACGAUCAAUUGAAACCCACGAAAGCCAGGACCCAAACUGGGAUUAGAUACCCCACUAUGCCUGGCCCUAAAUCUUGAUGCUUUAUCUUACCUGAGCAUCCGCCCGAGAACUACGAGCACAAACGCUUGAAACUCUAAGGACUUGGCGGUGCCCCAAAUCCACCUAGAGGAGCCUGUUCUAUAAUCGAUAAUCCACGAUACACCUGACCAUCCCUUGCCCAAGCAGCCUAUAUACCGCCGUCGCCAGUUCACCCCCCCUGAAGGUUCAACAGUGAGCGCAAUAGUCUCUCCCGCUAAUACGACAGGUCAAGGUAUAGCCCAUGGGAUGGAAGUAAUGGGCUACAUUUUCUAAGCUAGAAAACCACGGCAUAGGGGCUUGAAAUCGCCCCUAGAAGGCGGAUUUAGCAGUAAAGUGGGAUCAUCGAGCCCUCUUUAAGCCGGCUCUGGGGCAUGUACAUACCGCCCGUCACCCUCCUCAAAAGCAAUCAACUCCCCAUAAAUUAAUAAGCCAUCAAGCUAAAGAUGAGGUAAGUCGUAACAAGGUAAGUGUACCGGAAGGUGCACUUAGACAACC
rnacentral:ncRNA from 1 species